rnacentral:misc_RNA from 1 species
CAAUUACUCGAAUUCAGGCAUUCUUGCUAGUCUCUCACAUCACCUACUAUCAUGGACAUAUAUACGUAACGUUAAUUUUUUAUAGAACAAAAUUCGAUAAUCGACAAUUUCUUUGCCAAGCCCGUAUACCGAAACGUUUGUCUACCCUAUCGUCGCACUCACCAGCCCCGGCGAUGAGCGUUCACCAACGUUCACCAACACGUUCGGCCGUGAACGUAGCUCGCCCAAGAAAGUCGAGCAGCGUGAAAAGCAUAUUUGGAUACGUCGAAGGCCGGUAGGAACAGCAACAGACAAGGGUGAAUCCAGAGGCGAGUGGUGAACAGCAGGUUGCGCCGCGGUCAUGCGCUCGACCUACCCCAAGAGGAGGGAGUGAAAAAAAUGCGCCAUUGAUUUUACAUCAAAGGCCGACUAAAAAGGCGGCAAAGAACGACGCGCUGCCGAUCGAACGACCCGGACCAACACACGCCGAUGCAGUUCUAGCGACGUUGCAUCGUUGCCGACGCGUUUACCGCACGCCCCCGCGCGACUUCUUUUUUUCCUGGUUAACGCGAGGUCCCUUCGAUAUAUUUGCGAGUGCUUUCGUCGUUGGGCCGGUCGUUGCUGUCCAUCCUGAGAUGUCCAUAGUCUGGACUGCCAUGCUGGGCAGCCGCCAAUAAGGCAGGAUGCAAUAUAGAUGGCGGAUGGGGCAGUGGAGGCGAAUCCCUGACAUCUACACCUCCACCAGGAGGACUCGCGGGUAAGUGAUGUGGCCCUGGAGGUGGUACCUGGCCUGGGUGACCCGCAUGAGGGUUGAAGAACGGUGAAUACGGCGAGAACACUUGACUUUCGUGAAGACUCGGGUUUGGUAUCGCUACGCUGGUUGGCAGGGACACUGGCAGCAUCGGCGGUGGCGGAUGAUACGAUCUCGGUGGAGGCGGGGGCGGUGGACUUUCGCUGCCUCCUUGCGAACCACCACCUUCCUGGGCCAGGAUUCUCGACACCGUCCUCGGCGUCAGCCUCGUGUCCGUCACCUGUGGAGGGAAAUACUAAUUGAUGCCUCGACUUUACCAUUGUGCAAUUCAGUCUCUUAUCCUACUUAAAACUAAUAAAUAUUCACUGACGAACAGAAUUAUUCUUUUUUUUUAUGCUUGAUGCUACUUUGCAUCAAG